UAUUGCACAAUGGGGGGAACCCUGAUGCAGCGACGCCGCGUGGGUGAAGGAGCGUUUCGGCGCGUAAAGCCCUAUCGGCAGGGAAGAAGGAGGACGGUACCUGACUAAGAAGCCCCGGCUAACUACGUGCCAGCCGCCGCGGUAAUACGUAGGGGGCAAGCGUUAUCCGGAUGUACUGGGUGUAAAGGGGGCGCAGACGGCAGCGCAAGCCAGGAGUGAAAGCCCGGGGCCCAACCCCGGGACUGCAUUGGAAACUGCCAGGCUGGAGUGUCGGAGGGGCAGGCGGAAUUCCUAGUAUAGCGGUGAAAUGCGUAGAUAUUAGGAGGAGCACCGGUGGCGAAGGCGGCCUGCUGGACGACAACUGACGCUGAGGCUCGAAAGCGUGGGGAGCAAACAAG
rnacentral:rRNA from 1 species